rnacentral:rRNA from 1 species
UACGUAGGGGGCUAGCGUUGUCCGGAUUUAUUGGGCGUAAAGAGCGUGUAGGCGCCAGGUAGGUCUGCCGUGAAAACUCGAGGCUCAACCUCGAGACGUCGGCGGAAACCAUCUGGCUAGAGUCCGGAAGAGGAGAGUGGAAUUCCUGGUGUAGCGGUGAAAUGCGCAGAUAUCAGGAAGAACACCCGUGGCGAAGGCGGUUCUCUGGGACGGUACUGACGCUGAGACGCGAAAGCGUGGGGAGCGAACAGG